rnacentral:rRNA from 2 species
AUCCGGCCGAGGGCACGCCUGCCUGGGCGUCA